UAUCCUAAGUGAAAUAACUCUGGAAUAAUAAUAAAACAUACUGUAUGUUCUCACUUAUGCAUGGGAGCUAAGAAAUAGAUGAGCAUGGUCAUACAGAAUGACAUAAUGGACACUGGAGACUCAGAAGGGUGAGGGUGUAAGGGGAUGCAGUUAAAAAAUUACCUAUUGGGUACAAUGUUCACUAUUUGGGUGAUGGGUACACUAAAAGCCUAGACUUUACCAAUGUGCAAUUCAUCCUUCUGGCAAAAAACCAUUUUUACCCCCUAAAUCUAUGAAAAUAAAACUAAUAAGAAAGAAUGUGUUACUGAUGACAAUGCAUAAAUAUUUAUUUUCAGUUAAUCUAGUAGUACCAGAAAACUCAAACUUACAGGGUGAGGCACAUGUUUUAUUAACACUGUUCACAAUAUUUUGAAAUGUGAGAAGAAAAUAACUUAUUCAAAAAUCAAACACAUAAGAAAUCAGGUACUGGAGGAUAAAUACAAUGUAGUCAACUCAAGGUUCUGUCUUUAACAGUGAUGCUAAAAGACAGUUAUGGGGUGAAAUUAGAAAUUGUCUUCUAAAUACAGCAUUAUAAAAGAAAUAAACACUAUACCUGGACUAGAGUAAAUGUUUAUUGAAUUCUUUCCAUUUUAACUUUCUUUGCCAAUGAAGUUGGAAAUUCGCAAAUAUGUUAAUUUAUUACCACUGGUUACUUAAAUCUCUGGCAACAGUAAGCUAUUUAGAAAUGCAAACACAAUCCUAGUGUGAUCUUACAUUUUAUUAGCAAAUACAAUAUUUUGUUGUAAGAAUUUAAAACUGUUUAAUGGUACAAGACAUUCUCAGAAAAUUAAAUUGUUCUAUUAUUAGUUACUGAAUAUAUUAAUAUUAUGUAACUAUUAUCGACAGAACAUUUACUGAUUUGAUUCUUACAAGGUGGUAACCUCAACAUCUUUUAUUCUAACAUUCUUAAGGGAGCUAAAAUAAAGUGACAUUUGCUUCAGAGAUACUAAUAAAGUGAUUUGUUGCAUAAAUCACAGCUUUUCUAGAAAAGAUGGGUUGGACUAGGUCAUUUAAUACCCAUCAUGGAAUCUGCAAAAGUAACUAGCAGGCAUGAGAACUAAAUUCACAAUCUCCUACUCAUUAACAUCAUGCUUUAACUCUCUGAGCUACCCAAUCAUAGUUCCUAGAAGAAAAGGACUUUACAGCACUACGGUUCUAAUGAACGUUCAUGAAUUGUUCAGUAUGGCAAAAAUACAUAAAAUGAAACAGAGUGGAUGGACUUUAGCUUUUAUCAUAGUUCAAUGUGUGAAACAUAAAAAAAUGGCUUAAGAAGACUAAGUAGUUACUUUAAGUAAUAAGCACUGUAUAGAAUAAAAUGGUCACUAAAAGCAUCUUAAACUGCAUAAAGUGGUGCUAUGAUGGUUACUUAUCUGAUAUUUUAGUGAUGACUCUCUUUAUUAGAAAAGCCAAGGGAACAGAACAUAAAACUGUUUUAAAAAACUUGAAAAAUCAGAUCUUAAUUCGUUUUGCUUCUACAAUCUUCUUUGUAUCACAAACAGGAUUUAACAAAGUAAAAAAAUAAAUUAUGUUGUUAAAUGUAAAGUUCUACUUAGGAGUUAAUUUCUUUCCACUUGGGCACAUAUCCACAUCACUAAAUUAAGUACAGUCUUUCCUAUUUGUUUCCCAAUAGCCAAAAAAUUCAAAGUUAAGGUUUGAAAUUCAAUUCACAUUUUAUAGCGGAGACUCAUCUCUUUCCCCAAAUAGAAAGCUUAGGUGUAAAGGCAGUCCCAAGGAGCAGGAAUGUCCUUAUAUUAAUGAGGAGGAGGAAACUUAAAGAUUAAAAUACUUGAAUUAAACUUGGAGAGGCUGAGAAGACUACUUGGAUAGGUAACUCUGAAGGUUAAGAAAUAGUGCUACUACAAUAAAUAGGUACCAAAAUAAUACAUGGAGAAAAAUGUGAUUCAAUCUAAUGGCAUAAUAUUUAAAAAUACAUGGACAUUUAUAAAAGACUUAAGAGACUAAAUAGGAGAAAAGAACAUUUUCUGAUAGAACUCCAGACACCCUAGGAGUAACUGAAAGGGACAUGUUGCCUGGGGACAGUCAAAUAAACAGAAAAGUCUGGAGACCAGGGUGGUUGCUUAGGAAACACUUCAAGGGAGUCAUAGGAGCUCAGAGCAAUAGAUCCCGUUACUGAAACCUUCAAAAGGCCCUUUUCUUCCUAUGAUGCCAACCUCCUCUGCACAGGAGAAGAGGAGUGCCUUCUCUAAAUCUUUGGAUCAUAUGCUCAAUUCACGAAUCACUAAUAAAAGUCAAUUAGAUCUUUA